GUUGAACUCAGUUCAGCAAUGCUUAGAGGCGCUUCUGUAUUCAGAGCUGCGCUAAGAACCGAGAACCACCCGGUAUUAAAACAGCGCCGACAGUCCAGAAAGCUUUUCUGGACAUUCUUGAGGAAGUGAAGGACCACGUGCCUAACAUUGUAGGAGUCCCUCAGUCUUCUCAGGGUGGAAAGGGCUCUGUUUUGGAUCUAAUAACCUGGCCUGCAAAAUCAGCCUUCUCUGGCAUGCUGCAGGCUUCUUACACAAUACACAUGUAUCUGUCAAUGCACUUUAACAGGGCUAUGUCCCGGGUAAGAAAGGCUGCAGUGGAAGAACAGCCUAGGUGGAAAAGCACAGAGAGGGCAGGGAUGGAGUUUGUGGUUUCAAAGCAUGGAGUCACUGCCAGGUAUUAUGAAUCGACGCGACAGGAGUGGCUGUAUGGUUCCUAUGGCGACUCCUCCGUCUCCUUACUCUAAGUAAAAAGGAUAAGGAUCUCCAAACUUUGUAUUUGAACAUGUUUUAAACACUGGUUACCGCAGUUCAGUAAUGUUGUAACCUGAUCGUAACUGUCAACGCUCAAGCAUAAAUCAGUUAUAUGUCAGCCAUAGACCAUCACUUCAAGAAGUAUUACAAUGUAAUAAACACAAUAGAUCAGACAUUUCUUAUUUAAAAAAAUCAAAUUUUAUAACCAAGUAAAAAAAAAAAAUCAUUAAAAAACAAACAAAAGAAAAACUGUUAACCAUAGUCAAAGGUCACUG